CCCACCCCGCAGAUGGGAGCUGCACACUGCAGAGCUGCAGCAGCACUGAGAGUGUUUCUGGGGUUCAGGCCCCAACGCUGCAGUGGUUCUUACCAUUGUCUGUCUCCACGUAGAGCCGCAGGCCCAGGUUGUGCUUGCGUUCCACCAGCCAGUGGCUGCUGGCGGCUGUGACGUCGAACACCAGCCAGCCCUCGGUGCCGGCAUGCAGCUGCUGGGCGUCCAGCAGGAACAGGUUGGACUCCCUGCAGAUGGGCACAGUGGCCCCGGUGCUGCGAGGUCAGGACAGCGCCUGUGGCUGUGUGAAGGUGGCACCCUGGCAGCUGCCCUGGGAAAAGCACAGCUCCCUCCUAGCACCGUGUGUGUCACUGCCUGGGGACGCUGUGGAGCAGCAUUUGGCACAGGGUGGGAAAGAUGCGGAACUCGGCGGCCGUCACCGACUCCCCUGCGGGCACCUGAGCCAGGUCGAAGCGGAACUCCUUCCAGUAGGGCUUUGGGGAGGAGGUGU